rnacentral:rRNA from 1 species
AGCCCUUGACAUGGACGUCGCGACUUCAGAGAUGAAGUUUUCGGUUCGGCCGGACGUUACACAGGUGCUGCAUGGCUGUCGUCAGCUCGUGUCGUGAGAUGUUGGGUUAAGUCCCGCAACGAGCGCAACCCUCAUCCUUAGUUGCCAUCAGUUCGGCUGGGCACUCUAGGGAAACUGCCGGUGAUAAGCCGGAGGAAGGUGGGGAUGACGUCAAGUCCUCAUGGCCCUUAUGGGCUGGGCUACACACGUGCUACAAUGGCGACUACAGUGAGCAGCGACAUCGCGAGGUGAAGCUAAUCUCCAAAAGUCGUCUCAGUUCGGAUUGCACUCUGCAACUCGGGUGCAUGAAGUUGGAAUCGCUAGUAAUCGCGGAACAGCAUGCCGCGGUGAAUACGUUCCCGGGCCU